UACGUAGGGUGCGAGCGUUAAUCGGAAUUACUGGGCGUACAGCGUGCGCAGGCGGCGCGUUAAGACAGGUGUGAAAGCCCCGAGCUUAACUUGGGAAUUGCGCUUGUGACUGGCGUGCUGGAGUGUGGCAGAGGGAGGUGGAAUUCCACGUGUAGCAGUGAAAUGCGUAGAGAUGUGGAGGAACACCGAUGGCGAAGGCAGCCUCCUGGGCCAGCACUGACGCUCAUGCACGAAAGCGUGGGGAGCAAACAGG
rnacentral:rRNA from 1 species